UACGUAGGUGGCAAGCGUUGUCCGGAAUUAUUGGGCGUAAAGAGCUCGUAGGCGGUCCGUCACGUCCGCUGUGAAAACCCAGGGCUCAACCCUGGGCUUGCAGUGGAUACGGGCAGACUAGAGGUAGGUAGGGGAGAAUGGAAUUCCCGGUGUAGCGGUGAAAUGCGCAGAUAUCGGGAGGAACACCGGUGGCGAAGGCGGUUCUCUGGGCCUUACCUGACGCUGAGGAGCGAAAGCGUGGGGAGCGAACAGG
rnacentral:rRNA from 1 species